GCAGGACCAUGGUAAUUUUUUCCAUCAAAUCUUAUCAUGAUAUCAUCAUGCUUAGCUCUUGCUCGAGAGAGGGGAACUCACAGAUGCUUAGGUCCAACUUGAACCUGCUAUGCAUUUACCGUCCAAAAAUGAAUAAGAUGAUUUAUACCAAUAAAAAAAAUUACAAGAAUUUUUGUAUAAAUAUGAAAAAGGAUGGUAAUUAAUAUACAAAGAC
rnacentral:lncRNA from 1 species